rnacentral:misc_RNA from 1 species
UCCGGUUUGGCACCGGCAGUCCCCCAUGAGUCCCCGGCAUAACCCGCUGGCAACAUGGGGCGGGGGUUGCGCUCGUUGCGGGACUUAACCCAACACCUCACGGCACGAGCUGACGACAGCCAUGCAGCACCUGUGUGCAGGUCCCCGAAGGGAAGGAAUCCAUCUCUGGAAGCCGUCCUGCCAUGUCAAGGGCUGGUAAGGUUCUGCGCGUUGCUUCGAAUUGAACCACAUGCUCCACCGCUUGUGCAGGCCCCCGUCAAUUCCUUUGAGUUUCAUUCUUGCGAACGUACUCCCCAGGCGGGAUACUUAACGCGUUAGCUACAGCAUUGCACGGGUCGAUACGCACAGCGCCUAGUAUCCAUCGUUUACGGCUAGGACUA